rnacentral:snoRNA from 1 species
UGGAUGAUGAAAAACUUUUCCACAUUCGCAGUUUCCACUCGAGCCAUCGACACGAACCUACUUAGAUGGCAGAUGAGGGGCAAUUCUUCCUUGGAUGUCUGACCCA